GCAUGUGGCCCUACGCGUUUCGACCUAAAAAGGUCUUCAUCAGGGGCACAAAAAUAAUAAAAAAGAGUUAUACAAACAUCUUGGUUAAAUACCUUGUGUAAUGUAAAGCAUAUCAUUAGGGAACAAGCACGCAUCAGCGCGUGUGAUGUCACUUCCACUCUCCACAAUGAUCAAAUGGAUCUAUAAGACUCCAUCACACACACCCCCCUGGGGAUAUUCUUUCCCCCGAAAUGCGCUACAAAUUCUCUGCGCUAUAUAUUCUCUGGAAUUUUCUGUUCAAGAUGAUGGACCAAAGGGGCGAUAUAUAUAGUUUUUCUUAGUGUGGACAUUACAUAUAUGACGUUUUUCAUGCUUUCUAUAUUCAUGCAAUGUUUGAUCAUAGCCCAGUAGCUCCAAUUAGACGGAUACUUCUGCAUUGUGGAAACGCAUUUGCGUUCCAGAUUAUAUCCCAUAAUGCUAUUUGAUGUCUAAACUUUUCUUUGGAACCGAAGUGAUGUCAUAUAUGUUGGAGCAAUCGUGAUGUGUUCACUAAUGGACAGGACACAUCAGUAGAUUUCCAUUCAAGCGCAUUAGCAAUUUAGUAUUAAAGCCUUACAUCUACUUAGAUAUCUUUCCCCCUGGUGAUGGCCUUGUAGCGUUUAAGGAACAAUCACUUCCGGUUAUUGGAACGCAUUUGCGUUCCGGAAGUGUUCCCACAAGUGUUGAUCAUUGUGGAAAGUGGAAGUGACGUCACACGCGCUGAUGCGUGCUUGUUCCCUUAUGAUAUGCUUUACAUUACACAAGGUAUUUAACCAAGAUGUUUGUAUAUCUUUCUGCCUUUUUUAUUAUUUUUGUGCCCCUGAUGAAGACCUUUUUAAGUCGAAACGCAUAGGGCCACAUGCUGUUGCCAUGUGGUGUAACUAGCAUGUAAUAAAUUUUCUUUUUUUUUUA